UUCAGUUCAAGAUGGCGUGUGGACGAUAAGUGUUUUAUAAGGUUUCUGUGCAAAAAAUGUGUUUUCUGUUGUUUCUCUUACGGAUUUAUAGUGUCAGUUUACCAACAAUUGCAGACAAAGUUGUAUAAUCUGUUUAUUUACACAGAUAUCCAGCGAAGACUUUGUAGGCAUUUCGCCGAUUGACCCCAAAAGCGCCACUCGAAAGUUUUUGCACACGGCGGCCAGCAAAGUUAGCACCUUCGUGAGGGAUUAUCUUUGAAGUUACAUAGCGAAUGACUGUUUUGACACUUCUGUGGGACCAGUAUGAGGAUGGUGGUAUCAAAAGGGGUGCUAUAUCAUGGUUUGACUGUAUUAGGUAAUGUAGGUAGAAACCUUCUCAAGUUCACAUCCUUAUUUUGCUUGAAAAAAUUUGCUUUCAGAAAAGGAACUUAAAGCCUUGCUUUCCUUCAUCAGUGUUCAUCUUCUGGGUUGUGACACUGUAUGGGCUUGUAGACAGAUAUACACAAAUGUUCCAGAGAAACAUACUGCCUCCAUGUUCAGCACUGGCAAUUUAACAUUGCAUCACAACCCAGAAUAUUAAUAUUGACAUAUUUACUGUUGAAAGAGCUUUAAAUCCGUUGCUUUCUUUGUUCUUGGAUAAGUGCUCUAGUUUAAAGGAAGUCUGGAUCAUUUGUUAGUCUUCUAACUUUAAAUGAAAUCUUUCCUGACAGGCUGAGGUUUUUAUAUGUUCUCCAAUCAAAUGUAUAUCAUUAAUUGACUGUCUCUGUCGCAAAACAAGUUUGCAUUCAGUGGUGACAAUACAAGAUGAAACUCACUCAUCAAAUUGUGUACUUUUAUUCAGAACUAGUUACCAAUUUUCAGUGAUUUUCUCUGAGGAGCUUUGUGGGCAGCAUUCUCUUACAGGAAUUUCCUGCACUGUGGUGCCCUUGCUAGGCUGCACUGCACUACAAUGGGGAUUAGACAAUUAAAUGUAAACAUAAUAAGCAUAAUUUAAUGUUACGAGCUUCAUUUGAUAAUCAUCACUGAUUGCCACUCAUACAAAUGGUGUGGAAUAUGGAAAAUAAAAGUAGCCUUUUUGCCUUAUUCACAUUUAGGACUAUAAAAAUUUAACAUUAA